rnacentral:lncRNA from 1 species
ACCAUAACUGUCAAUCCUCUAAAUGCAAACAAAUAAUCUGAAUAAUAAAUCUAAAGGAAAAAUCCUUUUUUUUUUUGGAACAUUAAUUCUAGUAAGUCUAAGGGGAGAGAGGAGAUUUGAACACUGAAUCUCAGUCCUUUAAGGCCUAAGCUAUUAAACAGAAAUACUCCUUUUGUAAUUUAUAUCAUGCGACAGAAUACUAUAAAA